rnacentral:rRNA from 1 species
UACGUAGGGUGCGAGCGUUGUCCGGAAUUAUUGGGCGUAAAGGGCUCGUAGGCGGUUUGUCGCGUCGGGAGUGAAAACCUCGGGCUUAACUCGGGGCUUGCUUUCGAUACGGGCAGACUGGAGGUAUGCAGGGGAGAACGGAAUUCCUGGUGUAGCGGUGAAAUGCGCAGAUAUCAGGAGGAACACCGGUGGCGAAGGCGGUUCUCUGGGCAUGACCUGACGCUGAGGAGCGAAAGUGUGGGGAGCGAUCAGG